AUCCGACGCGGGUUGAGACUGCUGAGCGGGGCAGCGCCAGAAGCCGUUAGGAAUCGUUGGCUCUUUCUGGCAGUUAUUUCAGCUUGUUCUUCGUAGAUAAAAGUGCCCCACGCAUCCGGAUUGAGACCCACUAUACGGUUGUCUGAAGUGUGUCGCACUGAGAUCGGUCAGGUUUUUUUUUUUAUACUGGAUCAUUCCUGAAGUGGAUCCCUCCUUUGAUAUUGAUGGCGAGCCUUCCCACCUGGACCUAAAGAGAGAACCAGAUUUCGUCUAUCCCAUUUGGAGUCAUGCUGCACCCUGCGGUGUGGUAGGAGAGGCAACAUACAUCUUCACACACGGUUAUG